UAAAGGGAGAGCUUCUUUCUAAUUCCAGGGUGGGACCCUCCACUGUUUCCCCCUUACAAUCCUUCACUGACAAUCUUCCAUUGACCUAAUGGGGAGGUACCUUACUUUCAGGAGUUCUUUCUCUUCUUUGUAAGACUCCAUGCUCUUCUAAAAUUCUUCACCACAUUCUGAUAUUGCAUGACUCAUGUUGCUGUCUUGGUUUAUUUCUGAAAUACUGGAAGUAAGAGAGAUACUGAAAGGCUCCCAUCUUCAUCCACCAGGAUGGCAGUGAGUCAUCUGGCAACUUUCUCAUCUAAAGCAUUUCCUGUGAAUAUUCAUGUCCAUAACUGUACAAAUCUGCAUUGCCAAACUAUAAUGUCUAAAUAUAUGUGCACAUGACUAUAUGCCUCA
rnacentral:lncRNA from 11 species